rnacentral:rRNA from 1 species
AUGGACCAUUCCAUCCCUUAUUCCCAUGGCUAGGCAUCAGAUUUGGAUGACGAAUGUCUCGACGAACAAGUUGAUGAGGAGGGGUUCACGGUGAAGGAGGCCGAAGCUUUAGAGAAGGUAUUCGGGCAGGAUCAUCGGACUACAUUGUUCAAGGAUGUUAGUCUCGCGGAUGAAGCCAAGGUAGAUGGUGGCCAAGGUAUAUCUCUUGAUGUUAGGCCAAGAUCUCACCAUGAUUUGGAAGACGACAAGAAAGGGAUUGCUCGCGGGUCUAAGUUCGAAACCUUCUUAGAAUUUAAGAUGUGGCUCGACAACUACUCGGUUAUGCAUUGUCGUCCACACAACAUGGUGAACUCGGACGUCAAUGUGCAUUACACGGUUGCAUGUGAAGAUGAAAAAUGUCCGUGGAUUGUGUGUGCAAUACCAUGGAAAGGAGGUCCAACUUGGCACGUAGUGAGUUGUGUACCAAGUCACAUGUGCCGAGGCAAAAGGGUGGAUGGCAAGGUUGUGUCCCAAGACCACAGACAACUCACAUUCGAGUUCAUCGCUGAUAAGUAUCCAACGUAUCUAUAA